rnacentral:rRNA from 1 species
UACAGAGGGUGCGAGCGUUUAAUCGGAAUUACUGGGCGUAAAGCGUGCGUAGACGGCUAUCUAAGUCGGGUGUGAAAGCCCCGGGCUCAACCUGGGAAUUGCAUUCGAGACUGAAUAGCUAGGGUGCGGUAGAGGGAAGCGGAAUUUCCGGUGUAGCGGUGAAAUGCGUAGAUAUCUGGAGGAACACCGGUGGCGAAGGCGGCAUCCUGGACCGGCAUUGACGCUGAGGAGCGAAAGCCAGGGGAGCAAACGGG